UACGAAGGGGGCUAGCGUUGUUCGGAAUUACUGGGCGUAAAGCGUAUGCAGGCGGAUCGUUAAGUCGGGGGUGAAAUCCCGAGGCUCAACCUCGGAACUGCCUUCGAUACUGGCGAUCUUGAGUCCGGGAGAGGUGAGUGGAACUCCGAGUGUAGAGGUGAAAUUCGUAGAUAUUCGGAAGAACACCAGUGGCGAAGGCGGCUCACUGGCCCGAUACUGACGCUGAGAUACGAAAGCGUGGGGAGCAAACAGG
rnacentral:rRNA from 1 species